UAGCUAGUUGGUGGGGUAAGGGCCUACCAAGGCGACGAUCGGUAGCUGGUCUGAGAGGAUGGCCAGCCACACUGGAACUGAGACACGGUCCAGACUCCUACGGGAGGCAGCAGUGGGGAAUAUUGGACAAUGGGGGCAACCCUGAUCCAGCAAUGCCGCGUGUGUGAAGAAGGCCUGAGGGUUGUAAAGCACUUUCAGUGGGGAGGAGGGUUGAUAGGUUAAGAGCUAAUUAACUGGACGUUACCCACAGAAGAAGCACCGGCUAACUCCGUGCCAGCAGCCGCGGUAAUACGGAGGGUGCGAGCGUUAAUCGGAAUUACUGGGCGUAAAGGGUGCGUAGGUGGUUGAUUAAGUUAUCUGUGAAAUUCCUGGGCUUAACCUGGGACGGUCAGAUAAUACUGGUUGACUCGAGUAUGGGAGAGGCUAGUGGAAUUUCCGGUGUAGCGGUGAAAUGCGUAGAGGUCGGAAGGAACACCAGUGGCGAAGGCGGCUACCUGGCCUAAUACUGACACUGAGGCACGAAAGCGUGGGGAGCAAACAGGAUUAGAUACCCUGGUAGUCCACGCUGUAAACGAUGUCAACUAGCUGUUGGUUAUAUGAAAAUAAUCAGUGGCGC
rnacentral:rRNA from 1 species